AUUGAACGCUGGCGGCAGGCCUAACACAUGCAAGUCGAACGAGCGGCGGACGGGUGAGUAAUGUCUGGGAAACUGCCUGAUGGAGGGGGAUAACUACUGGAAACGGUAGCUAAUACCGCAUACCAUCAGAUGUGCCCAGAUGGGAUUAGCUUGUAGGUGGGGUAACGGCUCACCUAGGCGACGAUCCCUCGCUGGUCUGAGAGGAUGACCAGCCACACUGGAACUGAGACACGGUCCAGACUCCUACGGGAGGCAGCAGUGGGGAAUAUUGCACAAUGGGCGCAAGCCUGAUGCAGCCAUGCCGCGUGUGUGAAGAAGGCCUUCGGGUUGUAAAGUACUUUCAGCGAGGAGGCGUUACUCGCAGAAGAAGCACCGGCUAACUCCGUGCCAGCCGCCGCGGUAAUAC
rnacentral:rRNA from 1 species